rnacentral:rRNA from 1 species
AUGAAACUAAUAGCAUGGAACUGUCGAGGCAAAGGCAAGGGCCUAGGCAGUGAAAAGAUGACUUAUCUUGCCAAUCUCAUGCGUUCUACUAGUGCUCAGGUAACCUUCGUUUCUGAAAUUAAAUCUUCCAGAACUAACAGAGCUGACCUUCUUAAUCGUUUUGAAAUUGUAGAUAGCGUAGUCGUCCCAUCAAAAGGCAAGUCAGGAGGUCUUUGGCUGAUGUGGACGGAUGAAGUUCAAGUCAAUGUGCAUUUUGCGGACUUCCACGUGAUCCUUGCCUCUGUAGUUAAUCCAGUCUCUAGUGUUUCUUUUGCUCUUGUUUGUAUAUAUGGUGACCCGUACCAUCGUAACACGAGCGAUAUCUGGGAUCGUAUUGCCUCUUUUGUGUACGAUAACCAAGGCAGCCCUAUCUUAUGUAUGGGAGAUCUUAAUGAUAUACUUUAUGAUGCU